UACCAGCUCUCCGAGUUGUAGGGAUGAUUAUUGGGCUUAAAGCGUCCGUAGCUGGCUUAGCAAGUCUCCUGUUAAAUUCAGCGACCUAAUCGUUGAGCCGCGGGAGAUACUACUAGGCUAGGAGGCGGGAGAGGUCGACGGUACUUUCGGGGUAGGGGUGAAAUCCUAUAAUCCCGGGAGGACCACCAGUGGCGAAGGCUGUCGACUAGAACGCGCUCGACGGUGAGGGACGAAAGCUGGGGGGAGCGAACCGGAUUAGAUACCCGGGUAGUCACAGCUGUAAACUAUGCGGGCUAGGUGUUGGGGUGGCUACGGGCCACUUCAGUGCCGCAGGAAAGCCAUUAAGCCCGCCGCCUGGGAGUACGGCCGCAAGGCUGAAACUUAAAGGAAUUGGCGGGGGAGCACCACAAGGGGUGAAGCCUGCGGUUC
rnacentral:rRNA from 1 species